rnacentral:rRNA from 1 species
AUUAUACAAUAAAUUGUGGAUGGCUCAUUAAAACAGUUAUUAUUAAUAUGAAAUAAUUUUUUAUUUGGAUAACUUUAGAAAUUCUUCAGCUAAUACAUGGUAUAUUGGAUAUUUUUCAUAAAUGAUAUAUUUGCUUUUAUAUUUAAUCAAAUUAAUGUGUUUCUACAUUAUAGAAGAGUCAUAUUAUUAAUUACAGAUCGCAAUACAUAAUGUGGCAACUCAUUUGAAUUUCUGACUUAUCAGUUAAUCAGUAGUGUAUUGGUUUAUUGAGGCACUUACAGGUAACAGAGAAUUAGGGUUUUGUUCCGAAGAGGGAGUCUGAGAAAUGGCUACCACAUCUAAGGAAGGCAGCAGGCACGUAAAUUACCCAAUUUUGACUAGCAGAGGUAGUAACAAGAAAUCACAAUAUGGUGCCUUAGGGUUAAAUAAUUGUAUUGAAAAAAAUAUAAGCAUCUUAUCGAUAAACUAGUGGAGGGCAAGUCUGGUGCCAGCAGCCGCGGUAAUUCCAGCUCCAAUAGUAUAUGCUAACAUUGUUGCAAUUAAAAAGCUCGUAGUCGAAUAUUGUAAGUAUUCAAUUUUCUGUGGUCUUAAUGAACUACAAAUUAAAAUUACCUUAAUUUUAAUAAUUUAAUUUUAUUGGCAUUUAUUUUCUGAUAUUAAUAUAAUUUAAUUUUUCUUUGAAAAAAUUAGAGUGUUUUAAGCAAUCUUAUGAUAUUAUUUUUAAGUAUGGAAUGAUAAGUAAUGAUGUUGGCUAUUUUUUUAAAUUUGAGUAGUUAAUAUAAUGACUAAUAGAAUUAUUCGGAGGGAUUAGUAUUUUAUUGUUAGAAGUGAAAUUUUGGGAUCGAUAAAAGACUGACUAUUGCAAAAGCAUUCAUCUAGGAUAUACUCUUUGAUCAAGAACGUAAGUUGAGGGAUCGAAGAUGAUCAGAUACCGUCGUAGUCUUAACUAUAAACUAUAUCAACUAGGGAUUUGCAAAUGUUUCUAUGACUUAUUUAGAACCUUAUGAGAAAUCAAAGAAUCUGGAUUCCGGGGGGAGUAUGGUCGCAAGGCUGAAACUUAAAGGAAUUGACGGAAGGGCACCACAAGAUGUGGAUUCUGUGGCUUAAUUUGACUCAACACUGGAAAACUUAUCAGAUCCAGACAUAAAUAUUAUUGACAGAUUGAUAGUUCUUUCUUGAUCCUAUGGGUGGUGGUGCAUGGCCGUUCUUAGUUGGUGAAAUGAUUUGUCUGGUUAAUUCCGUUAACGAACAAGACUAUUACUUGUUAAUUUUCAUGGUAUUAUAAAUAAUAUUCUUGCAUCUGUGAGGGACAAGUUUUGAAAAAAAAGCUGGAAGUUGGUAGCAAUAACAGGUCUGUUAUGCCCUUAGAUGAUCUGGGCAGCGCACGGGCUACAAUAGGAAAACGAUUAUGCCUUAUAUCAUUAUUCGAAAAGAGUUGAUAAAUCAUGAAAUUUACCUAUAUUUGGAAUCACAUCUUGGAAUUCUGAUGUAUAAACAAGGAAUAUCUAGUAAACGUAUGUCAUCAACAUUCUUUGAAUACGUCCCUGCCUUUUGUACACACCGCCCGUCGCUCCUACCGAUUGAAUAAGUUGGUGAUUAGAUUGGAUAAAGAGAUGUGAUU